UGUUUCCUACCGAAGCCACCUGCAGUUGUAGAAGAUGUGUGUCUGAGGCAGCUGGUAGGAUUCAAUUCUGUUUCUGGCAGCAGGAGAGUACAUGUUGAAGUAUCAGAAUUGGAGCAGAAAAUUGUAAGUGCAGCUGAAAUGGAAGGGGAAGCAGCAAGCUAUUGCCAAGGGAGCACAAGGAUUUUUGAAAUAAGUACAUUCAAAAAACAGACUUCUCCAGUCAAAGAUCAAUGACAAACUCAGAGCAGAAGUAGAUUUGUUCCCAGUAAGAAGGUACUACCUUCUUUUCCUUCCUUGGCAAUUUUCCUUCAGAAGAAUCAGUCACUGACUUCCUGGGGUUAUAUUUUCAGAGAUUUCCCUUUGAUCCUAAGAAUGUACUGGAAGCUGAUCCAACCAUAGUUAGUGUUCUCUUUUCUGGAUUAUUUAUGUGAGGCCACUGGGAGAAUUGGUGUAUUCAUUUCUCUGGCUUUUACUUUCUAUAGAUCUCAGCCUUGGAGAGCAUCUUGGAGAGCAUCUUGG
rnacentral:lncRNA from 1 species